GAUAUCGUGGCUGAGUGGUUUAAGGCGGUUGUCUGUAAAACAAUUGUUGAAAAACAUCCUAGGUUCGAAUCCUAGCGAUAUCA
rnacentral:tRNA from 1 species